UUUCUGGUAUUCUAGAAUGAUUGAUCCACUCUGACCAUUCCCUGGUGGUAUGAAACAUUCAGCACCAAGUAGUAAGUGAGGGCCAGGGAGUGCGUACAAAGCGAUUUUUGAGAGAGCAUGUCAAGAGUCAAAGCUGGUGACCCGUGUCCAAGCACAAUGACAAGGCAGAGAAGACUCAGAGUAGUAAUCUGAAAGUAAACGUGUAGAUCAGACUGUUUGGGAAGCAAAGGGGAGAAGUGAGGAUGUUACUUGUCUUGGAAAGAGCCUGCACCAGCAGAGCAGAGGCCAAGCUGUACCUGACAAAUGUGCUAUAGUCUCAGCACUGGAUCUAGGACAGGGGAAAAUGGCUGCUCCGUUUUCGAGAUCCGUCUGGGCAGCUGACUUUGCAGAUGGGAUCUACUGGUUGCAUUUCUAAGCUUGAGAGAUCAUCUUCUCUUUACCUUGAAGGUGUUGGAACCAGUGUUUAAAUUGUGAAAGAUCAUUGCUUCAAGAUGCUGGGACGGCUCUGACAACGAAGAAGGAAAGACAUCAUGGAAGAUUUUUUUUCUCCACAGAAGAAAAGAACACUGACAGCAAGAAAAAUAUCUGUGUGUUCUCUAAAAUCUACCUUGUUCUUUACCCUGGAGAAGUCCUGUUGUGGUUCCACACCCUUCUGUCAAGCAGGUCCCUGAGGGGAUGCCACCCUUCUGCUGUCACCUAUAAUCCACGAGUGAUCCUCCGAAUCAUCCUUUGUGGUGACCGCCACACACAUGCAGUUUACCCAGAGAGAGACACAGCAUCUCUACAGAAUGGAGCAGAGAGAGUGGGAAACGGCAGAGAGAGAGAGAAAAGACGAGGCAUAGCCACCAAGUGGUUGAGUCCCCAGGGGGCGAUGGGCAGCGGAAUGAAUGAGUGGUUAAAACUGACAAAGCAAUAAAAGCCUGGAUUCUUGUCCACCUUUUCCUCCAAUUGUUCCAGUGAGCAGUUGCCCCCAAGAUCACUCAAUGUCUGUCCAGAAAUUCUCUUCCAUUGAGCCCG
rnacentral:lncRNA from 1 species